UACGUAGGUGACAAGCGUUGUCCGGAUUUACUGGGCGUAAAGAGCGCGCAGGCGGUCGAUCAAGUCGAAUGUGAAAGCCCCCGGCUCAACUGGGGAGGGUCAUUCGAUACUGUUCGACUCGAAGGCAGGAGAGGGAAGUGGAAUUCCCGGUGUAGUGGUGAAAUGCGUAGAUAUCGGGAGGAACACCAGUGGCGAAGGCGACUUCCUGGCCUGUUCUUGACGCUGAGGCGCGAAAGCUAGGGGAGCAAACGGGGAUUAAGAAACCCU
rnacentral:rRNA from 1 species